UUGUCCUACGGGGCGCAGCAGUAGGGAAUUUUCGUCAAUGGGCGCAAGCCUGAACGAGCAAUGCCGCGUGAGGGAAUAAGGCCCUACGGGUCGUAAACCUCUUUUGCCGGGGAGCAAGGGCGGGGACGUGUCCCGGCCCGGAGAGUACCCGGAGAAAAAGCAUCGGCUAACUCCGUGCCAGCAGCCGCGGUAAUACGGAGGAUGCGAGCGUUAUCCGGAUUUAUUGGGUUUAAAGGGUGCGUAGGCGGGCUUUUAAGUCAGCGGUAAAAAUUCGGGGCUCAACCCCGUCCGGCCGUUGAAACUGG
rnacentral:rRNA from 1 species